rnacentral:rRNA from 1 species
UGGGGAAUAUUAGACAAUGGGCGCAAGCCUGAUCUAGCCAUGCCGCGUGAGUGAAGAAGGCCCUAGGGUUGUAAAGCUCUUUCAGAUGUGAGGAUGAUGACAGUAACAUCAGGAGAAGCCCCGGCUAACUUCGUGCCAGCAGCCGCGGUAAUACGAAGGGGGCUAGCGUUGUUCGGAAUUACUGGGCGUAAAGGGCGCGUAGGCGGACUAAUUAGUCUGGUGUGAAAUCCCGGGGCUCAACCUCGGAACUGCACCAGAUACUGUUAGUCUAGAAUCCCGGAGGGGGGUGUGGAAUUUCUAGUGUAGAGGUGAAAUUCGUAGAUAUUAGAAAGAACACCGGUGGCGAAGGC